UACGUAGGGGGCAAGCGUUGUCCGGAUUUAUUGGGCGUAAAGAGCGUGUAGGCGGCCAUGUAGGUCCGUUGUGAAAACUCGAGGCUCAACCUCGAGACGCCGAUGGAAACCAUGUGGCUAGAGUCCGGAAGAGGAGAGUGGAAUUCCUGGUGUAGCGGUGAAGUGCGCAGAUAUCAGGAAGAACGACCCGUGGCUAAGGCGGCUCUCUAGUACGGUACUGACGCUGAGACGCGAAAGCGUGGGGAGCAACAGG
rnacentral:rRNA from 1 species